rnacentral:lncRNA from 1 species
GGCAGAGACCAAGACUGUCCUCAAGUUGUGUAACGGACAGAGCUGGCAUACGAUGGAAGCUGUAAAGACUGAGUUUAGUUUAAUAUACCCAGUCACUUCCAGGGCACAGUUGACGGAGGCGAUGUUGAAUGCACAGCCCGAGUGUGUGGUCGGCCGGCUCCCGCUGCAGCAGGCGACCCUCCGUAUGGACAUCCUGCCUGCGAGGCCAGCAGCUGUCACGAGAACAGAGCGACGAUUGACGAUGCCGAGCUGAACGACAAUGGAGCAAAGCAGCAUUUACUUCAGCACAGGCAGGUCCUGCUCUGUGUUCACCAAUGGUGGCUGCGCAGUCCCACCCUGGGAACCUCAGUAAACGUCACCCACUGAAGACUCAAUGCUCAGGAGGUGGCCAGCCUGCACACAAGACCUCCAGGACCUCCUGCACUGAAUUAAAACUCAGGAUGGGAAAGGCUCCCCAGCCCUGGAGCCCUGACAGGGGUAAGCCCCCGAGACCCCAGUUCUGCCCAGAACUAGCCCUGAACUUGGAUGUGUGCAGGCACUCAAGGCAGGGGUGGACCAGCACAUGCCUGCAGGGGCUUUAGUUUAAAUGUAUAUGAUGCAUAUAUACGAUGAACACACAUGUAUACACACGUGGUGUAUACACAUGCGGCAUCUGCACACGACGUAAAUGCACCUGGCGAGUACACACGUGGCAUAUACAUACAUGCCCUGCAUAUACAACAUGGCACAUACACGCAUGAUAUACACACACAUGAUGAGUUAAAACCAGGCAGGAAAUUGCCUGAGGUGGCCCAGCUGGAGGAGGCCUUUGAAGCCAAGCACAGGACCCUCCAUUAAAGAAGAAUGACACCAAUGGUCACAGCAGUGCUGGUGCACACAGGAGGAGAGCGGGCUCCAUCCCUCACGUCCCCUUGGGUCACAGAAAUGCUGGUGAACAGUGGUGGAGAGGGGGCUCCACCCCUCAUGUCCCCUUUGCUGCUGUUUGCCUUAAUUAUGUGUUUGCAUCCACAAAACUACUUUUGGAUUCUGUGACUCAAAGAAAUGCAAAAUUAAAAAAUAAAUCUGCAAAAGUCCACCUGGUUUUCAAUCAAACCUGUCUUUCCUUCCACCCUCACCCCUCCUAAAAGAGAAAGGAAAGCUGUUGGGUGAAGUGUGGCUCCCAGUCAGGGACAGGGAUCAGCCCAG